CUCAGCUUGCAGGUAGGGGGGCGGGGACCGGGCUCUGGCAAGCCGGCGAGCGCCCAGGGCUCAACCUUCAGGUGGAGGUCUCCCAGGUAGUGGACAAGCGAGCUGGAAAACCCGGGGCUGGCUCUCCUGGGAUGGGAGAGGAUGUACUGGGGUCCCACGACGGGAUUGUCCCGCUGGUGUCCAGAUCCUGUACACUCACUCGAGGAGAAGGAAGGAUCCCAGCGGACAGGAAAAGAAGAUGCUGGGGGAAGCCAGGAGCCGCAUCGUCUGUCUCAAGCUGCCUCUCCUGCAGCUCUGCCUGGCUCCCUAGCACACAAGGAGCUUCUUCCCAGGGCCCUCCACACCCCGGGAGUUUUCCAGUCCUGAGGAUCCUGCAGCGCAUUGGAUAUGCUUCAGUAAAAUCGGGAGUGGAGCCAUGGGACCAAGUGAUCGCAUUUCCUCUUCACUUCUGCCUGCCCCAUCUGGAGUGUUUCCCCAGUGCAUACUUAAAAGAAGAAGGGAAAAAAAAAAAAAACUGGUUGGACUCUGACUUUAGAGGUUCACUUUACCUUAAUUAAAGCAGGAAUGAUCUAA